AAUCAACGCUGGCGGCGUGCCUAACACAUGCAAGUCGAACGCGAAAGGGGCUUCGGCCCUGAGUAGAGUGGCAAACGGGUGAGUAACACGUGGGUGACCUACCUUCAAGUGGGGGAUAACGUUCCGAAAGGAACGCUAAUACCGCAUAUUGUCCCGUCUUUAGACAGACGACGAUGAAAGCCGGGGAUCGCAAGACCUGG
rnacentral:rRNA from 1 species